UGCAAGGCGGAAGCUCUCGGAGCGGAGACGAACGGAGAGUACGUCACUUCAGGUUUACGUCUGACGUCAUGUUGAAAUUAUAUGGUAAUACCUGGAAUACAACGCACAAGAUUGUGCACAAGGCUGUUGCAGAGUGGGGACCACGGGAGACUUGCCCCCAUCAGCCCACAGAGAAUGUCUGCUCCAUAGACAAUAACAAUUUUGAGGGCGAAGACCUUCAUCAUGCCACCGACCAUUGAUUGGGACGAUACACAGCAUUAAUAAAUUAAAUGAGUGCAUUGCCAAUAGAGGGAAGAAACAC